AACGAACGCUGGCGGCAGGCUUAACACAUGCAAGUCGAGCGCCCCGCAAGGGGAGCGGCAGACGGGUGAGUAACGCGUGGGAAUCUACCCAUCUCUACGGAAUAUCGCAUGGAAACGUGUGCUAAUACCGUAUACGUCCUUCGGGAGAAAGAUUUAUCGGAGAUGGAUGAGCCGGGGUUGGAUUAGCUAGUUGGUGGGGUAAAGGCCUACCAAGGCGACGAUCCAUAGCUGGUCUGAGAGGAUGAUCAGCCACACUGGGACUGAGACACGGCCCGGACGUCUACAGGAGGCAGUAGUGGGGAAUCUUGCACGAUAGCCGCAAGCCUGAGCCAGCCAUGCCGCGUGAGUGAUGAAGGCCCUAGGGUUGUAAAGCUCUUUCACCGGUGAAGAUAAUGACGGUAACCGGAGAAGAAGCCCCGGCUAACUUCGUGCCAGCCGCCGCAGUAAAAC
rnacentral:rRNA from 1 species